GGAUUGUGGCUCAGUGGCAGAGCACUUGCCUCGCAUGUAUGAGGCACUGGGUUUGAUCCUCAGCACCA
rnacentral:tRNA from 1 species